AGAUGGAACUCCUCAUCCUCACAACCCUGCUUUUUACUCUCUCUACGUUAAUCCCAAUCUGCAGUUCUAACCACUUAGAAGUACCGAGCUCACCACUUCAUGGUCCUCCUCUCUCAGCCAUGAGCAAACUUUCAAGGAAGUUAAGGGCUGGGGACUUAGCCGUGGUGGAGGAAUGUGUCCAAACAAGUUGCAAAAUCACAGGCCAAGGCAUUGAUCAUUUCUCAAGUGAUACUUCUAAAGAAAUGACGACACUCUUGCCCACCCCAUUACCUCCUCCUCUUCCAAACCAACAACAAGAAGAAGUUCAACCCUUCAAUGAAGACUACAGCUCCCCAAGUUCACACCCUCCCAUCAACAACUAACCUUUUUUUUUCCUUCAACUCACAAGCUUGCAUGGCUCGGCUUGGCUCACCUUCACCCCCUUAACUUUUAUUUGUUUUUUUGUUUUUUUGUUUUUUUUCCAUAUAUUUCCCUAUAAUCUAUAGUAACAACUAUAGUUUAGCCGAAUUUUAUUUAUUCUUUUCGUGAGCCGAGCUCAAGCUGACAUGAAAUAGAAGCUCAUUGUUCCGUGUCGAGUCGAAAUGCACCUGCCAUGAGACCACAAGAAAGCCUAGCCAUGCUCCAUCUAAGCCUGCUAACUUAGGAGCCGAGCCUAGCCAUGCAAGGAGAAUAGAUGGCCCAGAUUUCGCGCAUACAAUUAGGACUCGACUCGGAGAUGCGGAGACAUGGCGGCUUAUGAGCAUGGACUAUGUGCAUGCACGAAAGCGGCGUCCUAUUCAUAACAAGCGGCCGUAGAUCCAUAAGGGCAUGCCGAUUUUUGCAUUAGGACUGGAGAAUUAGAUAAAUUCUUACUGUGAUCGUGAUCAGUGUUCUCAUCCCGUGAGAAUUUGUGUUUUUAAUACAAUUUUGAAAGAAAUGUUAGUUCGACACUGCUUAAUUCGGUCACUUGGUUCUGAACU